AGGCGGACCUUUGAAUACACCAGUUCUCGUCCGAUCACUGAAGUUAAGCAACGUUGAGCGUGGAUAGUACUUGGAUGGGUGACCACUUACCUCUAUAAAACGCCGCUUC
rfam:Asian citrus Psyllid, Diaphorina citri - Florida Strain, whole genome shotgun sequence.